GAGUAAUGUCUGGGAAACUGCCUGAUGGAGGGGGAUAACUACUGGAAACGGUAGCUAAUACCGCAUAACGUCGCAAGACCAAAGAGGGGGACCUUCGGGCCUCUUGCCAUCGGAUGUGCCCAGAUGGGAUUAGCUAGUAGGUGGGGUAACGGCUCACCUAGGCGACGAUCCCUAGCUGGUCUGAGAGGAUGACCAGCCACACUGGAACUGAGACACGGUCCAGACUCCUACGGGAGGCAGCAGUGGGGAAUAUUGCACAAUGGGCGCAAGCCUGAUGCAGCCAUGCCGCGUGUAUGAAGAAGGCCUUCGGGUUGUAAAGUA
rnacentral:rRNA from 1 species